GGAUUUUGUAAGAAAAAAGUAUUUAGCCAUCACUGUACUUGUUUUAUCAUUGCACUCACCCCAUCUCCAUUAUUUUGGUUAAAGCAAAGGAAUGUAUGCUUGUGGCACAACAGCCUUUAAAUAUUCUGUGAAUAAAGAUAAGUGACUUUAAACACCAGGGAAGGGUGCAUCUUUCCUGAAUGUUGCCCCAAUGGUGUCAUGAAGUUGAGAGAUUGGCAGGUUUUGAAACCUACAGAACAUAUGGUGGGACUUGGGAGGAUUGUUACAAAGAACACCUUCCACACCACAGUUUACUGUGGAUUUGGUUCUGUUCAGGCACUCAAGCUUUGUGAAAUGUCCCUAUGGCACUGUCCUCAUCAAAAUGCUAUUCCAUAUCCCCACCCCGAAUUUAAUCCCAAUGUAUCCAGCAUUGGUCCUUAUUAAUUUUUUUGUUGGAUUAGCAUUUUUAUGUAUUGUGUACAGCUAGUGUUUUAAAUUUUCUUUGGCUUUAAAUUCUUUUCAUGUGCUUUUUUUUGUCUAGUCACUUUGAGACUUUUUACUGUAAAAAGCAACUAAUAAAUAAAAAAAAAUAGUAAGAGUAAAACUUCAAUGUUGUACAAAGGUAAUCGCUCCAGCAGGGCAAGUAUUUUGUCUUGCCAGACGGAACAUUUCCCCUUCUCCCCCCCCCCAUGUGCUGUUUCAGGGUUCUCCUGACACCCCCCCCACCAUGGGGGGGGUGUUUUGCAGAAGGAGAGAAGAGGAAAGCCAAGUUGCACAAGAGGAAGUCCUUGCACAGGUUUCUGCUGACAGGACUGUUUAGCUGAAUCUGCCCCCCCCCCAAAUAAUAAUUUACCAUUUCGCUUUAUUAUUUUAAAAUGAAGCACUUCCAGAUGACCUGUUUAUUGAGCAUUCAUCCUGAUUUGUUUGAGGGCGAGGCUAGAUGACACUGCGUUGAACACAGACGGAUUUAUAAUGGUGCAAACGUUGCAAUUGCAAGAGGGCCUGUGCCUGCAAGGGAUUCCAGACAUAGAGAUUUCAAUGAAAAAGAAGAAACAACCCUUUAGCCCUAGUAGAAGGAAAGUUACAAAGCAAAGUGUAUAGUUUCCGUUCAUUCUGAUUGGACAGUGGGCAGAUCCACACCAUAUAUAUAUAUUUACAAAUUUCCAAAAAUCAUAUAACAUACUUUCUUAUCUUAUACAAUGUUUUGGACUUCCAUCAACCGCAUCUGAAGAUUUUUCAGUCUUUAUCACUUAAUCUACAUUUCUUAAUUUCUCUAUUGCUUUUAAUUAUCCUUAACUAAUAACUCUCUUCAUAAUCUCUGCAAUACGUCACAUAAUCCUCCUUACAGAACUUCUUGGAGUCCUACUAGCGUAAUCUGUUUAUUACAAUUGCUUUUCAAAUAGUUCAAAUAUUUCCUCCAGUCCUCUGAGAAUCUCUGAUCCCGCAGGAUUUGGAUCCUUCCUGUCAUCUUAUCUAAUUCUGCAUAGUCCAUUAAUUUUGUCUGCCAUUUUUCUUUCGUCGGUAGGUCUUCUUGUUUCCAUUUCUGUGGCAGAUCCACACCAUAUAUUUAAUGCACAUUUAACGCCCCAGAGGAUCCUGUGAAUUGUAGUUUGUUAAUGUAACUGAGAAUUGUAGCUCUAUGCAAGGACAACUACACUCCCCAGGAUUCUGUGGGGGGAUUUGUGUGCUUUAAAUGUGCAUUCGUUACGCUUUAAAUGCAUGGUGUGGAUUUGCCCUUAUUUGUGGGGAGGUUAGACACUGGGGCCCAUCCAGACUUCCUUUUGUGCUGUGUUUCUGGGCUUUAAAGCUCCAUGUCUGAGCUUUCCCUAGGAAAACCAGAGUAAAAGGAUGUCUGGAUGAGCCCAGCGCUGUGUUAUCCCCACAUUUUCCAGUGCAUUUUCCUCUCACUUUUCUUAUUUGGGUGUGCAUGUUUGUUUUGCAGGAUCUCCCAAUCCACUGUAACUGUGAGAUUUGAAUUUGCCAGUAUGCGACUGAAUCCCACCCCAAAAUAAUGGCAGUCUGGAAGUGCCAUUAGCGAAUUUUCUGCAGAAACAGUAAAUCCAGAUUCAGCUGGAAAAGCACAUGGGGCGUUUUGAUGAAGAUGGUGCUGUGCAAGGGCUGUGCAAGACUUGUGUGCGUGAAUAGCACCGAGACCGCAAUGAACUGUACGUGAGGAAAGGCUAGGAAGCAGAGAACCGAGAAGGCGAGGAAGGACGGAGCAGAGGACAGGCUCAGCCAAAGAGGUGUGGGUCACCGAAGAAGGAGGGUGACAACUUAUACUCCAUUCUGAGCUGAUGGGAAGACAAUGAGCCAUAACGGGUCCAUGUAGCCAAUCGUGGACUCACAUGGCAAGCGGUGUGCUCUGUAACAAUGCGUAACAACAUCGCAAUGCCUCUGUGCCUCAGGAAAUAACACAUGGAUGAAUGUGGCCAAUAAGACAUCGCACAGCACAUGGAAUGACAUUGCAUAAUGACACAUGAUGUCAAGGUGGUACUGAGAGUCGAGGGCUUCCGAAGGAUUCAAACAAUCCACAAUUCAAGGGUAGGCGGGUAGGGAGCUUUUAUUUUGGGGGGGGGAGAGGGACAUGGAUUCAUGCUAGUGAGUGAAUGGCAGAGUACAUUCCCCAGUAUAGAGCAGGAAGCUCGUUGGUAGAUUUGUUUGAAUCUCUUUACUUAAGCAAUCUAAUCUGGCUUGUCCAGAUUGGGUUUGUUCCUGGUAAAUCACCUUUGUUCCCUCUUAAAAAGAAUAAAGACACAACAGUCUUCUAUUAAAAGUAAUGAUAAGAAGUUUACUCACAUUCAGUUCACA